GGCACCUUGCAUUGUGCGUACGCGUGUGUGCGCGACAGGUGAAGGAUGUGCUCAUAGUGGGCACGUCCCAUCUGGGUGGGGCACAGGUCCAGACCUGUGUGUGCGUCUUGUCGCGCGCAGGCGGGCCUGUUUGUGUGUGCCACAUCGCAUGUGGAUAGGGGCUAGACAAUGAACACUGUGUGUGUGCCGUCCGCACUAGCUUGCAUGUGAUAGGGUAGCUUGGUGCCUACAGGCUAGGCCUACAGCACUCACUGGCCGAGUGAGGCACACUGCUACAACAGGCAGUGUGCCGCUGCCAGUUAAGGAAAAUUCUCCUCAAUUUUUUGUGUCGCGUUAAAUCAAGCAUCUUUCCAUUUCAACACACACUCUCUUCACUGGAUUUUGCCAUUUGGCAUAAAUUCGACUGUCCCCAUUUUCUAUAAAUAGGGGUCCUUCUUCCCAU
rnacentral:lncRNA from 1 species